ensembl:lncRNA
GGAGGACAGUGUGAUAGGUGGAGGACAGUGUGAUGGGUGGAGGACAGUGUGAUGGGUGGACGACAGUGUGAUGGGCGGAGGACAGUGUGAUGGGCGGAGGACAGUGUGAUGGGUGGAGGACAGUGUGAUGAGUGGAGGACACUGUGAUGGGUGGAGGACACUGUGAUAGGCGGAGGACAGUGUGAUGGGUGGAGGACAGUGUGAUGGGCGGAGGACAGUGUGAUGGGUGGAGGACAGUGUGAUGGGUGGAGGACACUGUGAUGAGUGGAGGACAGUGUGAUGAGUGGAGGACAGUGUGAUGGGUGGAGGACAGUGUGAUGGGUGGAGGACAGUGGGAGGCUGGGAACAGUGGCAGGCAGCAGGGAACAUUCAGAGGCAGGCAGGUUCAGGAGCUAACCCUUAUUCUUUUCAAUUAUUCACAAACCCUGAAAAAGAACCUCCAUCUCCUUUGCUCCCCCUCCCUAGACACACGCGCUUGCAAACAUACACACACGCUCACACACGCACACACACGCACACACACCCACACACCCACACACACACACACACACACACACACACACGCUCACACACGCACACACACGCACACACACCCACACACCCACACACACACACACACACACACACACAGACAAGGGCCCUUAAAAUACCUAGUCUAAAAAUAGCAGAUGGGAAGCGGGAGCUUAGCUAUUAUUAUUGCACACACGUCCUGCCUAGUCCCACCAAGGAAAGACAAGAGACUAAUGAUUUUCAUGGUGCAAGCAAUUAAAAA